rnacentral:lncRNA from 1 species
AUUUUGAUUUAUUUUAGUCUUCCGCUGUAUGAUCUUGAAAAAGUUUCAAGAUCUAACCCUGAAACCCUAGAUCUGGUUCCUACAGUAGCUCUCCUUUGGGCAGGCUUUAUUCAGCUUUUUGAAGUCUAUACACAUCCUCCACUUGUCAUUUGCCUUUUUGACUAGGACGAUGUUGGAAAUUCAAUCAGGAUAAUUGACUUCUCUAAUGAAUCUGACUUUCAGGAGUUUGUCCACUUCUUCGGCUAUCAUUUUCUACCUCUCCGGUGCAUGGCCUCGAACUUUUUCUUUCAUUGAUCAGUACUUUGGAUCGACGGCC